AAUGGAAACAUUAAAACAAUGGCUACCUGAAGAAGAUGAAGGAAAGGUAGAAAUGGUGGCAUUGAAGUAGAUGAGGAACAGCUAGAACCAAGAUCUGAUGAUGAGGAUAAUACAAAUUUUGAAGAAUCUGAAGAUGAACUGAGAGAUGAAGUAGUAGAAUCCUUAGGAAAACUCGCUACUUUCAAAGGGGAAGAAAAAACAGACGAGGCCUCCACUGCCUCUCAGGAUUCUGGAAAGUCAAGAGAAAAAGACGCGAUAAGUGUGCAGAAACCUGAAGAAUUAAGUGAAGGUUUGGAGAAUAUUUCUACUCCAUCUAAUGACCACAUUUGUAUUACUGAUGAAGACCAAGGAACAUCAACGACCAGUCAGAAUGUACAAGUGUGAUUAUUGUACUUUUUCUUAAUAAGUUAGUAUCUGUUACCUAUAGUAUUUGGGUACAAGUCACAAAUGCUCAUUUACUGUAAGGGUUUUCUAGUCAUCGCAAGGAUGUAUUAAUUUUUCUUUCAAUUUAGAAAGUACAACUAACUUUUGAGUGUAGACAUUAAUAUUUUUAAAGUUUCGAUUAAGAAAUCUUUCAGCUAACACGUGGUAGGCAGAGUAAUGUGGCUCAACACCUCCCUCCAAAACGUGUUCCGUCCUAAUCCCCACAGUUUGUGAAUAAGGCACAGGAGAAUUAAAGUUGCAGGUGAAAUUGUUUGCUCAUCAGCUGACCUUAAAAUAGGGAGGUUAUCUUGGUUUAUCCACGUGAGUGCAGUGUAAUCACAAGAGUCCUUACGAGUGGAAGAGGAAGGCAAAAGAGAAAAGCAGAGAGAUGGCAGCAUGAAAAGGACUCAGCCUGAUGUUGCUGGCCUUGAAGGUGGAGGACAAGGCCACAAACUAAGAAUUCAGACAGCCUCUGGAAUCUGGGAAAGGCAAAGAAAUGGAUUCUUCCCUAGAGCCUCCAGAAGGAACACAGCCCAGCCAACACCUUGAUUUUAUACUGGUGAGAUCCACUUCAGAUUUCUGACCUGCAGAACUGUAAGAUAAUAAAUUUAUGUUAACUAAGUUUGUGAUAAUUUGUUAGGACAGCAGUAUAAAACAAAUACAAUAUACAGAUUCAUUCAUUUAACGUAAUGAAUCUGCUGUUUUAUAAAACUGAUUUUGAAAUUUCUUGUUACAUUGAAUAUACUUUUUUGAAGCUGACGCUGACACAGGAAUAAGGCAAUUGAGCAAGAACAAGGCAGGGUGUGUUAAUUAUGCACUAAAUGACCAUUAGUUUUAUUGGAUUAGUUUCCAGUAGUUUCAGGUGUAUAGGUUGAGGGCAGGGACUGUAUCUGGUCUUUAUAUCUUAUAAUGAUCUCUUUAUAUACAGUUAUUAGUACAGUCAGAAAUGUUUCUUGAAUUAGUAUAUAGCAAAACAUUUCUUUAUUAAGACUAUAAGCUGUUUGGUGUAGGAAGCUAGACUUAAACUUUUUUUAAUUGAUCAUAACAAUUCCAGUGUUGAACAUGUGCCUGGAGCUUACCAGAUGUUUAUUUAAACACUAAUGAGUGUUUAAAUAAAGUCUGGGCUUAGGAAGGAGAAAGUGGUUGUAUUUCAACGUGGUAGAAUUCUGCCUGAAAUAUCUGCUCUAUAAUAAAAGUCAAAUGUCUCAAUGAUGCAUUGUUAAGCUGAGAAAAUAAAAAUGAGGUGAGGUUGAUCAGAUAA